rnacentral:miRNA from 1 species
CAACUCCGUCGCAUUCUCCGA